AAGUAGUUGCAACACUGAAUGAAUAUUUCGACCCAAAGCGCCACGAGAUCACCGAAAGCUUCCGGUUCUUCAAUCGAUGUCAGCACGAAGCCGGAUCGCCAACGAGUCUCCCGGCCGCGGACGACAUCGCCAACGAGUUUCAAGACGUCUUCAGUGCGGAACUCGGCUGCAUCAGCGGUCCCCCUGUACACCUUCAACUCAAGGAGGGAGCUACACCAAAGUUCUAUCAUCAGCCGCUCCUGGGCCUGCUGAAAGCGGACAAGCCUACGCCGG